CAGCAGCCGCUGUAAUACGAAGGGGGCUAGCGUUGCUCGGAAUGACUGGGCGUAAAGGGCGCGUAGGCGGCUUGCACAGUCAGAUGUGAAAUUCCUGGGCUUAACCUGGGGGCUGCAUUUGAUACGUGUGGGCUAGAGUGUGAAAGAGGGUCGCGGAAUUCCCAGUGUAGAGGUGAAAUUCGUAGAUAUUGGGAAGAACACCGGUGGCGAAGGCGGCGACCUGGUUCAUGACUGACGCUGAGGCGCGAAAGCGUGGGGAGCAAACAGGAUUAGAUACCCCAGUAGUCCCUGUCUCUUAUAA
rnacentral:rRNA from 1 species